rnacentral:rRNA from 1 species
UACGUAGGGUGCGAGCGUUGUCCGGAAUUACUGGGCGUAAAGGGCGCGUAGGCGGCCUUCUAAGUCGAACGUGAAAUCCCCGGGCUCAACCCGGGAACUGCGUCCGAUACUGGGAGGCUUGAAUCCGGGAGAGGGAUGUGGAAUUCCAGGUGUAGCGGUGAAAUGCGUAGAUAUCUGGAGGAACACCGGUGGCGAAGGCGGCAUCCUGGACCGGUAUUGACGCUGAGGCGCGAAAGCCAGGGGAGCAAACGGG